AGCUUUGGUUUAUGUGUUUAUAUGUGCUAGCUUUAGCUAGCUAGCUAAAGAGAAUGACAUGAUAUUAAUAUGCUAGCGCUAGCUAAGGAGGAUGACAGGUUAUCAAUAUGCUAUAGGGAGGAUUACAUGGCAUUAAUAAUCUAGAGCUAGCUGGCUAGCUAAAGAUAAUUAGCAGGUGGCUAACAAGCAAACAAUUUAAAGCUGAAUUAUUUUAAUAUUAACACAAAAUAAGAACAAUACACCUUAAAUAUUUUACCCUACUAUGAGCUGUUCCUUAAUUUACAUUAGCACUCCUUCAGGAGCAUAAUACAAUUAAACACAUUAACCAAAGCUAGCACUUAGCUACCAAUUAUCGGUUAGCACUUAGCUAGCGAUUAGCGCAGAGCUAGCGAUUAGCGGUUAAAUAGCGGUUAGCACGUAGACAUGGUAUUAACAUAUGGGCCAGAGCAAGGCACAAUCAAAAUUGCUUUAGGAAUUUUCUAGUUAUUGUGCCUUGCAUAAGCAAGCACAAUACUAUUAUCCCUCGGGCUUAUUAAUAUUAUUCUUCCGUACGUUUUUCGGCGCGCUACUCCUCCCGGAGCUUUUGUCGCACAUACACAAAAAAGGUAUCAAAACGUGCGGCUCGGCCGGGAAUCGAGUGCUAUGACUUUUCUAAGAAUUUCGCCAAACGGUUUGCCGAUAAAUCGCCAAAAACCGGUCCAAAAAAUGAAUGGGUGUGUAUUGCGAGAACCUCCAACCGAAAAAAACUGCCAGAGUGCGUGACAUCAUCGCUAGAGUGUGGGGAGAGAGAAAAAUUUGUCGAAAAAUAAAUUUGUAAACUGCUGUCAUGGCCACAAAUUUCACUGUACAGAAAUAAUUUAUAGAUAGAAACGUAGGUAAAUUCGUUGGGGUCGCAGUGAUACCACUGCUGAAGCUGUCAGACAAAUAGUUUUGGCGGGAAACGCACUGAUGCGCCAGCAACUCCCUCUCACGGCCCCAUCUACUCCCAUGUUAAAAUGGAGAGGAGGAUUCUUGAAACACGCUCGUUGAACCUCUUCUCUCUCAAUCUCCCCAGGUCACAUUUUUUAACUUUAACCACUGAAACUCGGCAGGGCUAUAGUCAACAAGAUGACGACGCUCACGGUCUUUUCGGUUUUCAUUUCGGUCGUUCCUGGCCAUGCUUUUUAGGGGAUUCAUUUUAAAUGUUUUCUGUCUCUCUGAGGAGUUAGAGACAGAGAGAGAGCGUGCGCAGCUGCUGUGGGCUCCCCUGAUUGCCAUGACAACCAAAGCCUGCUCACACACACACACACACACACACACACAGCUAGCUACAGAGAAUGACAAGACAUUAAUAAGCUAGCGCUAGCUGGCUAGCUAAAGAUAAUUAGCAGGUGGCUAACAAGCAAACAAUUUAAAGCUGAAUGAUUUUAAUAUUAACACAAAAUAAGAACAAUACACCUUAAAUAUUUUACCCUACUAUGAGCUGUUCCUUAAUUUACAUUAGCACUCCUUCAGGAGCAUAAUACAAUUAAACACAUUAACCAAAGCUAGCACUUAGCUAGCUAUUAGCGCACGGCUAGCGAUUAGCGCUAAGCUAGCGAUUAGCGCACAGCUAGCGAUUAGCGCACAGCUAGCCAUUAGCAGUUAGCUAGCGAUUAGCGCUUAGCUAGCGAUUAGCGGUUAGCAAGCGAUUCGCACGUAGCUAGCAAUUAGGUCUUAGCUAGCGAUUAGCACAUAGCUAAGUGCUACCUUUGGUUAAUGUGUUUAUGUGUGCUAGCUCUAGCUAGCUAGCUAAAGAGAAUGACAUGAUAUUAAUAUGCUAGCGCUAGCUAAGGAGGAUGACAGGUUAUCAAUAUGCUAUAGGGAGGAUUACAUGGCAUUAAUAAUCUAGCGCUAGCUGGCUAGCUAAAGAUAAUUAGAAGGUGGCUAACAAACAAACAAUUUAAAGCUGAAUGAUUUUAAUAUUAACACAAAAUAAGUUCAAUACACCUUAAAUAUUUUACCCUACUAUGAGCUGUUCCUUAAUUUACAUUAGCACUCCUUCAGGAGCAUAAUACAAUUAAACACAUUAACCAAAGCUAGCACUUAGCUAGCGAUUAGCGCUUAGCUAGCGAUUAGCAUGUAGAUAGCGAUUAGCGGUUAGCUAGCGAUUAGCACGUAGCUAGCGAUUAGCGGUUAGCUAGCGAUUAGCACGUAGCUAAGCGCUAGCUUUGGUUUAUGUGUUUAUGUGUGCUAGCUUUAGCUAGCUAGCUAAAGAGAAUGACAUGAUAUUAAUAUGCUAGCGCUAGCUAAGGAGGAUGACAGGUUAUCAAUAUGCUAUAGGGAGGAUUACAUGGCAUUAAUAAUCUAGCGCUAGCUGGCUAGCUAAAGAUAAUUAGCAGGUGGCUAACAAGCAAACAAUUUAAAGCUGAAUGAUUUUAAUAUUAACACAAAAUAAGAACAAUACACCUUAAAUAUUUUACCCUACUAUGAGCUGUUCCUUAAUUUACAUUAGCACUCCUUCAGGAGCAUAAUACAAUUAAACAUAUUAACCAAAGCUAGCACUUAGCUAGAAAUUAUCGGUUAGCACUUAGCUAGCGAUUAGCGGUUAAAUAGCGGUUAGCACGUAGACAUGGUAUUAACAUAUGGGCCAGAGCAAGGCACAAUCAAAAUUGCUUUAGGAAUUUUCUAGUUAUUA